UACGUAGGUGGCAAGCGUUAUCCGGAAUUAUUGGGCGUAAAGCGCUCGCAGGCGGUUUCUUAAGUCUGAUGUGAAAGCCCACGGCUCAACCGUGGAGGGUCAUUGGAAACUGGGAGACUUGAGUGCAGAAGAGGAGAGUGGAAUUCCACGUGUAGCGGUGAAAUGCGUAGAUAUCGAGAGGAACACCUGCGGCGAAGGCGGGUUGCUGGGCUGAUACUGACGCUGAGGCGCGAAAGCCAGGGGAGCGAACGGG
rnacentral:rRNA from 1 species